rnacentral:rRNA from 1 species
ACGAUCAGUAGGGGUUCUGAGAGGAAGGUCCCCCACAUUGGAACUGAGACACGGUCCAAACUCCUACGGGAGGCAGCAGUGAGGAAUAUUGGUCAAUGGGCGAGAGCCUGAACCAGCCAAGUAGCGUGCAGGAAUGACGGCCCUAUGGGUUGUAAACUGCUUUUAUAAGGGAAUAAAGUGAGCUUCGUGAGGCUUUUUGCAUGUACCUUAUGAAUAAGGACCGGCUAAUUCCGUGCCAGCAGCCGCGGUAAUACGGAAGGUCCGGGCGUUAUCCGGAUUUAUUGGGUUUAAAGGGAGCGUAGGCCGGAGAUUAAGCGUGUUGUGAAAUGUAGAUGCUCAACAUCUGCACUGCAGCGCGAACUGGUUUCCUUGAGUACGCACAAAGUGGGCGGAAUUCGUGGUGUAGCGGUGAAAUGCUUAGAUAUCACGAAGAACUCCGAUUGCGAAGGCAGCUCACUGGAGCGCAACUGACGCUGAAGCUCGAAAGUGCGGGUAUCGAACAGGAUUAGAUACCCUGGUAGUCCGCACGGUAAACGAUGGAUGCCCGCUGUUGGUCUGAAUAGGUCAGCGGCCAAGCGAAAGCAUUAAGCAUCCCACCUGGGGAGUA